rnacentral:rRNA from 1 species
ACUAGCCUGCCCUCGAAGCNUUGAUUAAGUUGAUCAUGGCUCAGACUGAACGCUUACGGUAGGCCUAACACAUGCAGUCGAACGGCAGCACAGAGGAGCUUGCUCCUUGGGUGGCGAGUGGCGGACGGGUGAGGAAUACAUCGGAAUCUACUCUGUCGUGGGGGAUAACGUAGGGAAACUUACGCUAAUACCGCAUACGACCUACGGGUGAAAGCAGGGGAUCUUCGGACCUUGCGCGAUUGAAUGAGCCGAUGUCGGAUUAGCUAGUUGGCGGGGUAAAGGCCCACCAAGGCGACGAUCCGUAGCUGGUCUGAGAGGAUGAUCAGCCACACUGGAACUGAGACACGGUCCAGACUCCUACGGGAGGCAGCAGUGGGGAAUAUUGGACAAUGGGCGCAAGCCUGAUCCAGCCAUACCGCGUGGGUGAAGAAGGCCUUCGGGUUGUAAAGCCCUUUUUGUUGNGGAAAGAAAUCCAGCUGGCUAAAUACCCGGUUGGGAUGACGGUACCCAAAGGAAUAAUGGCACCGGCUAACUUCGUGCCAGCCAGCCGCCGGUAAUACG